rnacentral:lncRNA from 1 species
CCCAGUAAAAUGUAGCAUUCUAAUUACGCAAUGGUAAACACAGAUAUCAAUUAAAACAUGUCCUACAUAGGCCUCCUUAUAAAGUAAAUAAAAACACAUAAGUUUAGUACUGAAAAAACAACAUGGAGUUAGAAGCCAAAUCUGAACACAACAAUACAAAUAGGAGGCUUCACUAAGCUAAAAUCACUUCUUCCUUUUCUUUGGUGGCUGCAAAGCUUCCUCAUCUUCAUCCUCCUCUUCCUCUUCAUUGUCUUCUUCAUCAACACCUUCCUCCUCGUCCUCUUCUCCACCCUCUUCCUCAUCGUCAUCAUCCUCGUCCUCAUCGUCAUCCUCAUCUUGGUCAUCACCAUCUUCAUCAUCUUCCUCUUCUCCAUUUUCAUCUGCCCCACCAGCACCACCUUCAGGAGCUUUCUUCGAGUUGCUCUUAUUGUUGGAAUUGUUGCCAUAUCCACCUCCAUCUUCAGAUGACAAUUCAUCCUCCCCUUCUCCAAAUGCACCAUCUCCGUCAUCAUCUUCUUCGUCUUCAUCAUCGUUGCCAUCUUCUCCUUCAGCAUCAUGUUGCUUGUCUUGACUUUGGGUUUUACUAUCUCCUUUGGUUGUAGGCAUGUCGGUUAACAUUAACGCAUAGAGUUCCUACACCCAUUUUAUAAUGUUAUAAAAAAAACUUAUAUGCAUGUCAUAAAACAACUUAUAUACACAUUGAUGCAUUUAAGUGAAACAAACAAAGCGGAUAAUACAG